AAGUCGUAACAAGGUUUCCGUAGGUGAACCUGCGGAAGGAUCAUUAACAAAAUUGCGGCGGUAAGCAGGAGAUAUGAGGGAUUCUUGAAGGGGGUUUUUGAAGGUGUUCCUUCCUUCCUUCCUUCCUUUCUGAAAUGAAAUGAAAGGAAAGGAAAUAAAAGGAAAGGAAUAUUGGAAGGGGCCGUGGAAGGAAAUCUGAAAAAGGCCUGUGAAGCCAGCCAAUCAACCUUUGUGAAUCGGGGCGUGAUAGCAGCGAGCGAGAAAAACAAACAAUCAGCGCGGCUGCAAACACGGCUUAGAAGGCGUGGGCCGGUGUGCAGUGACAUGAAUAUGAAUAUUCAUAUGAAUAUUCAUGUCAAUGCAUCACCACUUAUUAAAGUCUAAUAACAUGUCGAAAGACAACUAAUACAACUUUUAACAAUGGAUCUCUUGGCUCUU
rnacentral:misc_RNA from 1 species